UCAGAGGUGAAAUCCCGGAGCUCAACUCCGGAACUGCCUUUGAAACUGGAAAGCUAGAAUCAUGGAGAGGUUAGUGGAAUUCCGAGUGUAGAGGUGAAAUUCGUAGAUAUUCGGAAGAACACCAGUGGCGAAGGCGACUGACUGGACGUGUAUUGACGCUGAGGUACGAAAGCGUGGGGAGCAAACAGGAUUAGAUACCCUGGUAGUCCACGCCGUAAACGAUGAUAACUAGUUGUUCGGGCACAACGUGCUUGAGUGACGCAGCUAACGCAUUAAGUUAUCCGCCUGGGGAGUACGGUCGCAAGAUUAAAACUCAAAGGAAUUGACGGGGGCCUGCACAAGCGGUGGAGCAUGUGGUUUAAUUCGAAGCAACGCGCAGAACCUUACCAGCGUUUGACAUCCUUGUCGCGGAUUUCAGAGAUGAUUUCCUUCAGUUCGGCUGGACAAGUGACAGGUGCUGCAUGGCUGUCGUCAGCUUGUGUCGUGAGAUGUUGGGUUAAGUCCCGCAACGAGCGCAACCCUCAUCUUUAGUUGCCAUCAUUCAGUUGGGCACUCUAAAGAAACUGCCGGUGAUAAGCCGGAGGAAGGUGGGGAUGACGUCAAGUCCUCAUGGCCCUUACACGCUGGGCUACACACGUGCUACAAUGGCGGUGACAGUGGGCAGCAACCUCGCGAGGGGUAGCUAAUCUCCAAAAGCCGUCUCAGUUCGGAUUGUUCUCUGC
rnacentral:rRNA from 1 species